ACUUUCCCGGGAUUUGGAGCGC
rnacentral:miRNA from 1 species